UACGAAGGGGGCUAGCGUUGCUCGGAAUGACUGGGCGUAAAGGGCGCGUAGGCGGCAUGGUUAGUUAGGUGUGAAAUUCCUGGGCUCAACCUGGGGACUGCACUUGAUACAGCCAAGCUAGAGUGUGGAAGAGGGUCGUGGAAUUCCCAGUGUAGAGGUGAAAUGCGUAGAGAUUGGGAAGAACACCGGUGGCGAAGGCGGCGACCUGGUCCAUUACUGACGCUGAGGCGCGAAAGCGUGGGGAGCAAACAGG
rnacentral:rRNA from 1 species